rnacentral:lncRNA from 1 species
GUGUGUUUUAUGGAGAUACACGUUGAGCAAAAAAAAGGUUUUGUGAAUAUUUGCCGACACGGAUGUUGAUAGGCUUCACGGUGGAGUGUGUAACCACCGGUGUUUGUAAAACUAAUGUUUAAAACAUUAUAAAUUAAAGUAAAAUUUAUGGUACACUUUGGGAUAAAAGAGAGAUGGAGAUAACGACUGAAAGAAACUUGAGGGUUCUCCAAAGUCACUUCGUGGCAUUUCUUGUAAUUCUCUAUAUUUUUCCGAGGGGUAUUGAGGAAAUAUGAAACUAUAAACGUUUGUAAGAUUUUUUUCAUUUUACUUUAAUAAUGUAAAGACAAUGAAUAAAACGUACCAUUCGCAGCUCUUGUUCCCUUUAUAUAAAGAUAUAGAAAUGUUUUUCUUUCAUCCAACCGAGCAAAAUGUUAAUUCACACAAGAAGAAAAGUUAGACAACCUUAAACACUGAUAGAACAAUUUGCUUACCCUAAAUUAUUUAGUCCUCUUUUACUUUUUUUUUCUUUUUAGUUCAGCUCAAUUUAAUU